GGAGGGGUGCCCGAGCGGCCGAAGGGGUGCGCCUGGAGAGCGCAAGUACGGGUAACAGCCCGUACCGCGGGUUCGAAUCCCGCCCCCUCCG
rnacentral:tRNA from 1 species